rnacentral:rRNA from 1 species
GGGUUGUGAGGUUAAGCGACUAAGCGUACACGGUGGAUGCCCUGGCAGUCAGAGGCGAUGAAGGACGUGCUAAUCUGCGAUAAGCGUCGGUAAGGUGAUAUGAACCGUUAUAACCGGCGAUUUCCGAAUGGGGAAACCCAGUGUGUUUCGACACACUAUCAUUAACUGAAUCCAUAGGUUAAUGAGGCGAACCGGGGGAACUGAAACAUCUAAGUACCCCGAGGAAAAGAAAUCAACCGAGAUUCCCCCAGUAGCGGCGAGCGAACGGGGAGCAGCCCAGAGCCUGAAUCAGUGUGUGUGUUAGUGGAAGCGUCUGGAAAGGCGCGCGAUACAGGGUGACAGCCCCGUACACAAAAAUGCACAUGCUGUGAGCUCGAUGAGUAGGGCGGGACACGUGGUAUCCUGUCUGAAUAUGGGGGGACCAUCCUCCAAGGCUAAAUACUCCUGACUGACCGAUAGUGAACCAGUACCGUGAGGGAAAGGCGAAAAGAACCCCGGCGAGGGGAGUGAAAAAGAACCUGAAACCGUGUACGUACAAGCAGUGGGAGCCUCUUUAUGGGGUGACUGCGUACCUUUUGUAUAAUGGGUCAGCGACUUAUAUUCUGUAGCAAGGUUAACCGAAUAGGGGAGCCGAAGGGAAACCGAGUCUUAACUGGGCGUUAAGUUGCAGGGUAUAGACCCGAAACCCGGUGAUCUAGCCAUGGGCAGGUUGAAGGUUGGGUAACACUAACUGGAGGACCGAACCGACUAAUGUUGAAAAAUUAGCGGAUGACUUGUGGCUGGGGGUGAAAGGCCAAUCAAACCGGGAGAUAGCUGGUUCUCCCCGAAAGCUAUUUAGGUAGCGCCUCGUGAAUUCAUCUCCGGGGGUAGAGCACUGUUUCGGCAAGGGGGUCAUCCCGACUUACCAACCCGAUGCAAACUGCGAAUACCGGAGAAUGUUAUCACGGGAGACACACGGCGGGUGCUAACGUCCGUCGUGAAGAGGGAAACAACCCAGACCGCCAGCUAAGGUCCCAAAGUCAUGGUUAAGUGGGAAACGAUGUGGGAAGGCCCAGACAGCCAGGAUGUUGGCUUAGAAGCAGCCAUCAUUUAAAGAAAGCGUAAUAGCUCACUGGUCGAGUCGGCCUGCGCGGAAGAUGUAACGGGGCUAAACCAUGCACCGAAGCUGCGGCAGCGACACUAUGUGUUGUUGGGUAGGGGAGCGUUCUGUAAGCCUGUGAAGGUGUGCUGUGAGGCAUGCUGGAGGUAUCAGAAGUGCGAAUGCUGACAUAAGUAACGAUAAAGCGGGUGAAAAGCCCGCUCGCCGGAAGACCAAGGGUUCCUGUCCAACGUUAAUCGGGGCAGGGUGAGUCGACCCCUAAGGCGAGGCCGAAAGGCGUAGUCGAUGGGAAACAGGUUAAUAUUCCUGUACUUGGUGUUACUGCGAAGGGGGGACGGAGAAGGCUAUGUUGGCCGGGCGACGGUUGUCCCGGUUUAAGCGUGUAGGCUGGUUUUCCAGGCAAAUCCGGAAAAUCAAGGCUGAGGCGUGAUGACGAGGCACUACGGUGCUGAAGCAACAAAUGCCCUGCUUCCAGGAAAAGCCUCUAAGCAUCAGGUAACAUCAAAUCGUACCCCAAACCGACACAGGUGGUCAGGUAGAGAAUACCAAGGCGCUUGAGAGAACUCGGGUGAAGGAACUAGGCAAAAUGGUGCCGUAACUUCGGGAGAAGGCACGCUGAUAUGUAGGUGAAGUCCCUCGCGGAUGGAGCUGAAAUCAGUCGAAGAUACCAGCUGGCUGCAACUGUUUAUUAAAAACACAGCACUGUGCAAACACGAAAGUGGACGUAUACGGUGUGACGCCUGCCCGGUGCCGGAAGGUUAAUUGAUGGGGUCAGCGCAAGCGAAGCUCUUGAUCGAAGCCCCGGUAAACGGCGGCCGUAACUAUAACGGUCCUAAGGUAGCGAAAUUCCUUGUCGGGUAAGUUCCGACCUGCACGAAUGGCGUAAUGAUGGCCAGGCUGUCUCCACCCGAGACUCAGUGAAAUUGAACUCGCUGUGAAGAUGCAGUGUACCCGCGGCAAGACGGAAAGACCCCGUGAACCUUUACUAUAGCUUGACACUGAACAUUGAGCCUUGAUGUGUAGGAUAGGUGGGAGGCUUUGAAGUGUGGACGCCAGUCUGCAUGGAGCCGACCUUGAAAUACCACCCUUUAAUGUUUGAUGUUCUAACGUGGACCCGUGAUCCGGGUUGCGGACAGUGUCUGGUGGGUAGUUUGACUGGGGCGGUCUCCUCCUAAAGAGUAACGGAGGAGCACGAAGGUUGGCUAAUCCUGGUCGGACAUCAGGAGGUUAGUGCAAUGGCAUAAGCCAGCUUGACUGCGAGCGUGACGGCGCGAGCAGGUGCGAAAGCAGGUCAUAGUGAUCCGGUGGUUCUGAAUGGAAGGGCCAUCGCUCAACGGAUAAAAGGUACUCCGGGGAUAACAGGCUGAUACCGCCCAAGAGUUCAUAUCGACGGCGGUGUUUGGCACCUCGAUGUCGGCUCAUCACAUCCUGGGGCUGAAGUAGGUCCCAAGGGUAUGGCUGUUCGCCAUUUAAAGUGGUACGCGAGCUGGGUUUAGAACGUCGUGAGACAGUUCGGUCCCUAUCUGCCGUGGGCGCUGGAGAACUGAGGGGGGCUGCUCCUAGUACGAGAGGACCGGAGUGGACGCAUCACUGGUGUUCGGGUUGUCAUGCCAAUGGCACUGCCCGGUAGCUAAAUGCGGAAGAGAUAAGUGCUGAAAGCAUCUAAGCACGAAACUUGCCCCGAGAUGAGUUCUCCCUGACUCCUUGAGAGUCCUGAAGGAACGUUGAAGACGACGACGUUGAUAGGCCGGGUGUGUAAGCGCAGCGAUGCGUUGAGCUAACCGGUACUAAUGAACCGUGAGGCUUAACCUUACAACGCCGAAGGUGUUU